rnacentral:rRNA from 1 species
UAAUAUUUAAUUAUUUAGGUUUUUAUUAUUUAAUUUUUUAGGAAAGUAUUUUUUUUUUAUUAUUUUUUGAACAAAUUAUUUUUAUUAUAGUUUAUUGUACUGUGAAGGAUUUUAUUUAUUAUUUUAGAAGAAAAUUUAAUUUAUUGUACCUUGUGUAUCAGGGCUGUUUAAUAAAGUUUUACGUAUGUAUUUUUCUCGAUUUUGAAGGGGCUAUUUUUAUAUUUAUUUUAUUGUUUUAUAAAUAUUUCUAAUAUAAGAAUUGAAAUGAAACGUUAUUCGUCUUUAAUUGUAUCUAGUUGCUUGAGAAAUUAAUUUAAUUGAGUUUAGAUGAGGAAUGUUUAAAUUGAUUUUGAUAUUUUUUGUUUGACAUUAUAUUUAUAGGGAUAAGCUUGUAUUUAGAUUAUUAUAAAUUUAUUUUUUUUCUUUUAUUUUAGGAUUGGAAUUUUCUAUUUUUUAGUAUAUUAUUAUUAAGGAAGAUUAAUGUAAUAUUUUCUUUGUUUUAGGUUUUUUAUUGAGCUUAUUUUUUUAAUUUGAUAUGAUUUUUAAUUAUGGAUGGAUUAGUAUAUUUUAUGUUUGGAAAAUUUUCUUUUUUAGGUUAAUAAAAGGAACUCGGCAAUUAAGUUUUCACCUGUUUAUUAAAAACAUGUCCUUUUGACUAUGAUUUAAGGUCUGGCCUGCCCACUGAUGAUUUGAAUGGCCGCAGUAUUUUGACUGUGCAAAGGUAGCAUGAUCAUUAGUUUCUUAAUUGGAAGCUGGUAUGAAUGGUUUAAUGAGAAACUUUCUGUCUCUUGUUAAUUAAUUAGAAUUUUAUUUUUAAGUUAAAAAGCUUAAAUGUGGAUUAAAGACGAGAAGACCCUAUAGAGUUUUACUUAUUAGUAGAUUUUUUUUAUAGGUUUAUGAUUAUAUUAUUUAUUAUUAAGUUUUGUUGGGGUGAUAGAAAAAUUUAAUUAACUUUUUUAUUUUAUAAACAAUUUAUAUGAUUAUUUGAUCCUUUAUCAAGAUUAUUAGAUUAAAUUACCUUAGGGAUAACAGCGUAAUUUCUUUUGAGAGUUCUUAUUAAUAAAGGAGUUUGCGACCUCGAUGUUGGAUUAAAAUUAAUUUUUUGUGCAGUAGCUUAUAAGAUUAGGUCUGUUCGACCUUUAAAAUUUUACAUGAUCUGAGUUUAGACCGGCGUGAGCCAGGUUGGUUUUUAUCUUAAUUGAUUUUAUAUGUUUUAGUACGAAAGGACCAGGCAUAGAAAAUAAUUUUUUAUUUUGAAUAGAAUU